AGUCAAUAGAUACCCGGGUAGUCCACGCCCUAAACGAUGACAACUGGCUUUAAGGAGUAUCGACCCUCUUUGAGGCGAAAGCUAAACGCGUUAAGUUGUCCGCCUGGGUAGUACGAUCGCAAGAUUAAAACUCAAAGGAAUAGACGGGGACUUGCACAAGCGGUGGAUCAUGCGGCUCAAUUCGAUGACAAACGAAGAACCUCACCAGGGUUUGAAACCCAGACGAUCGCUCUAGGAAACUAGAGCUUCCGCAAGGCGGCUGGGCAGGUGAUGCAUGGUCGUCGUCAGUUCGUGGCUUGAGUUGUUCCCUUCAGUGGGGUAACGAACGCAACCCUCGUUGCCUGUUUUAUAUGUCAGGCGAGACUGCCCCCUCACGGGGGAGGAAGGUGAGGAUGACGCCAGAUCAGCAUGUCCCUCUGAUAUCCUGGGCUGCACGCAUGAUACAAUGGACGAGACAACGCGACGCGACGGGGUAACCCGUGAGCAAACUCGUAAUAAACCUCGUCCCCACGUUCGGAUUGAGGGCUGCAACUCGCCCUC
rnacentral:rRNA from 1 species